rnacentral:rRNA from 1 species
AGAGUGAACGCUGGCGGCGUGCUUAACACAUGCAAGUCGAACGAGAACGGAUUUAAGCUUGCUUAAAUUGUCAGCUAAGUGGCGCACGGGUGAGUAAUAUAUAGUUAACCUGCCCUAGAGAGGGGGAUAACGUUUGGAAACGAACGCUAAUACCCUAUAUGCCUUUAAUACAUAAGUAUGCAAGGGAAAUAUUUAUAGCUCUAGGAUGGGACUGUACGGUAUCAGUUAGUUGGUGAGGUAAUGGCUCACCAAGACUAUGACACCUAACUGGUUUGAGAGGAUGAUCAGUCACACUGGAACUGAGACACGGUCCAGACUCCUACGGGAGGCAGCAGUGGGGAAUAUUGCACAAUGGACGAAAGUCUGAUGCAGCAACGCCGCGUGGAGGAUGACACAUUUCGGUGCGUAAAGUCCUUUUAUAUAGGAAGAUAAUGACGGUACUAUAUGAAUAAGCACCGGCUAACUCCGUGCCAGCAGCCGCGGUAAUACGGAGGGUGCAAGCGUUACUCGGAAUCACUGGGCGUAAAGAGCGUGUAGGCGGGUUAAUAAGUUGGAAGUGAAAUCCUAUGGCUCAACCAUAGAACUGCUUUCAAAACUGUUAACCUAGAGUAUGGGAGAGGUAGAUGGAAUUUCUGGUGUAGGGGUAAAAUCCGUAGAGAUCAGAAGGAAUACCGAUUGCGAAGGCGAUCUACUGGAACAUAACUGACGCUGAGACGCGAAAGCGUGGGGAGCAAACAGGAUUAGAUACCCUGGUAGUCCACGCCCUAAACGAUGCACACUAGUUGUUGCUAUGCUAGACAUAGCAGUAAUGCAGUUAACACAUUAAGUGUGCCGCCUGGGGAGUACGGUCGCAAGAUUA